UUCAUUAUUGUGUAGAAGCACACUUGAAUCUUUCCGUUGUCUUACACGCACAAGGAUAUAAAUGACAACUCUUUAGGCCCUGAUGGUGAUCUUCGAGUCUAUCUAGAAGGUGUGGCCGCCAGUGAAAAUGUUAAAACAUUUGGAAUUCAAGGAAGAAAAGUAAACAUUACAGGAACAGAUGACUGUGUCCAGUUCCUCUCUACCUUCGGUCUUUAGUAGAGGUGGAAAAUGGCGCGAUUGGACGAGUUAGGUAAUGGGUCAAAGCUGGUAAUUUUUUUGUACAGGAGUUAGCCCCAAAUGCUUUUUGUCUAAUUUUAAUUGACUAGAAAACAUAUCCCUUUGUAUAAAUCUAAUGAAAACAUUUUUAGUUCUAAAGACUACAGAGAUGGCUAUGGGAAUGUUGGGUGGUUGAAUUUAAAUUGGUUAACCUUUUGAGGAAAAGGUUUGAUAGGGUCAACUUCAAAAGUAUAUUUCGGGUGAUUUUUGACGU